rnacentral:rRNA from 1 species
GCAAUUCGAACGGUAACAGGAAAUAGCUUGCUAUUUUGCUGACGAGUGGCGCACGGGUGCGUAACGCGUUUACAAUCUACCUUUUGCUGAGGGAUAGCCCAGAGAAAUUUGGAUUAAUACCUCAUGGUAUUAUUGAUAGGCAUCUAUUAAUAAUUAAAGGUUACGGCAAAAGAUGAGUAUGCGUCCCAUUAGCUAGUUGGUGAAGGAACGGAGCAACAAGGCAACGAUGGGUAGGGGGCCUGAGAGGGAGAGC